AUCUAUAUUUGUGUUUCUUUAAAAAAUAAGCAAAAAUACAUGUGUAUUUGUAUACUCAUGCCCCCAUUUUUCUUAUAAAAAGACACAUGUUUGAGCUCUAAUAAUGUUUUAUACUUUGAUUUUUUUUGCUUAACAAUACAUUCUAGAAUAUAUAUCGUUCCACAUUUAUUCAUAGAUAUCUUGAUUCUGCUGUAUGGCUAUAUGGUUACCCAUGAUGUAUCACAGACUACGUAACAGCCCUCUGUGGAGAGACAUUUGGUUCCAGACUUUUGCUAUUACAAAUGCCACAGCCAUAAGUAACCUUGUGCAUAGGUAGUUAUUUUUAGGCUCUUUGUCACUGUAUUUUUGUUCACAUGGUCUCUGUCCUGUGGAGAAGCCCAUGGUCAGAUGUUCUCAUUCCAGUUUUACUUGCUUUCCAGUAUAAGUAAAUUCAUUUGGAUAUAUGGUAUUGGGUUGAUGUCAGUUUAGACUUUAGUAUUUUUGUCAUAAGUACAAGCAGUUCUUUCCUUUUAUAUAUUUUUGUAAGUAUUUACAAGGGCUGAAUGUGGAAAGCCAGACAAUAGACUUAUUUGAUAUAAAAGAGCUAGGAGUUCCAUUGCAAGAGGGCUAAAAAAGUGAUGAAACCACUAAUUACACCUCCAGUUUUUAAACACAAUCAUUUAUGAUUUAUUGCCAACAUUUGUACAUGUUCUUUAAUUGUGUUCUGUUCCUUCACAAUUAAUUGAACAUGCAAUUGACCUGUCUAAGUCCAGUGAGAAUCUGAUUAAGGUGAAAGAUUCUCUGUCUUCAGGCUGCUUAAGUGAUUUUUGUCUUUGUCUCAAUUAUGUUAAGUUUAUAUGACCUAUUCUUCUUAUCCCUGGUAUCAGCACUUUCAUUUUUCUGUUUUUGUGUAAGUUCAUGCCAGGAGAUACCUGAAUUUUGCCACAUAUUCCUGAAUUUGUUAGGACUGAGAUCAGGCUGGGCCAACUUCACAGGCAUGCGACUUGUGUUCUCGUUCUUACAGUUGCAUUUAAGACUAACAUUAUACAAUAUAAAGAUGAACAAUAAAAUCUUGCUAAUAAUUUCAAUAUUUAAUGUUUUUAAACUUAGAGUGACUAAUAGCAAAUAAAAGAUACCAUGACAAGUCAAGAGAGAGUCUACAGAACAAAGGGAAAAGCUUUAUAUUUCAGUACCUUUAGUGUAUUCGUGCAUGUUGAUAAGGCUGUGAAGAAAUACCUGAGACUGGGAAUUUAUAAAUAAAAAGAGGUUUAAUAGACUCACAGUUUCACAUGGCUGGGGAGGCCUCAUAAUUAUGGUGGAAGGUGAAUGAAGAACAAAAGCACAUCAUACAUAUGGCAGCAGGCAAGAGGGCAUGUGAGGGGAACGGCCCUUUAUAAAAUCAUCAGAUCUCAUGAGACUUAUUCACUGUCACAAGAACAGCAUGGGAAACCCACCCCCAUGAUUUAAUUACCUCCCACUGGGUUCCUCCCACAACACAGGGGAUUAUGGGAACUAAAAUUCAAGAUGAGAUUUGGGUGGGGACACUGCCAAACUGUAUCAUUUAGCAUUACUUUUUCCUGCUUUUUGAACAAGGGGUCCCAAAUUUGCAUUUUGCACUGGGACCUGUAAGUUUUGUAGCUUGCUCUGUACCCGGAUACAGAUAGGUGAAAUUCAGAGAUUGAUGUAUUCAUUCAGCAACAUUGACUAAGUACCUGCUCUGUAUAUCCACAGUGCCAGGUGUAGAAGAUGGAAAAUAUGAAGGAGUUUCCCAGUUGCCAGAGACAUACCUGCAGUCAGUUCUUAAAGAUCUGCGUGUUUGGGAAUCAAGGCCCAAAUCAGGGAGGAACAAAUUCCCAGUUGUGCCUUGUGUUGGGAAGAGUUGAGAAAGAAUAUAAACUCAGAUUGCAUCAGAGUGUUUGAACUUGUAAGACAUUUUAUUACUUUUAAAAUUAUUUCUUAACUUUUUUUUUAGUGAGAAC
ensembl:lncRNA